rnacentral:rRNA from 1 species
GAUGAACGCUGGCGGCGUGCCUAAUACAUGCAAGUCGAGCGAACAGACGAGGAGCUUGCUCCUUCGACGUUAGCGGCGGACGGGUGAGUAACACGUAGGUAACCUACCUAUAAGACUGGGAUAACUUCGGGAAACCGGAGCUAAUACCGGAUAAUAUUUCGAACCGCAUGGUUCGAUAGUGAAAGAUGGCUUUGCUAUCACUUAUAGAUGGACCUGCGCCGUAUUAGCUAGUUGGUAAGGUAACGGCUUACCAAGGCAACGAUACGUAGCCGACCUGAGAGGGGGGGUGGACACACGCGCACUAAGACGCGGUAGAGACGCCAACGGGGCGCAGCAGCGCCGAAUGUAGCAGAAUGGGAUAAGGACUGACAGAGUAAAGUAGCAGGGAAGAACAUACGUCUCUGGUCCUAUAAACCUGUUAUCGUGGAAAAACAAAGAAGCAACGAAUGACUCACGGCCAGACGUGACGUAAUAAGAAAGCCACCGCUAACCCCGAC